rnacentral:rRNA from 1 species
UACAGAGGGUGCAAGCGUUAAUCGGAAUUACUGGGCGUAAAGCGAGCGUAGUCGGUUAUUUAAGUCGGGUGUGAAAGCCCUGGGCUCAACCUGGGAAUUGCAUUCGAUACUGGAUAGCUAGAGUUCGGCAGAGGGAAGCGGAAUUUCCGGUGUAGCGGUGAAAUGCGUAGAUAUCGGAAGGAACAUCAGUGGCGAAGGCAGCUCGCUGGGACGUUACUGACGCUGAGACGCGAAAGCGUGGGGAGCAAACAGG